CUGACUCACCCCUUCUCCACUCAGGAAUGAUGUUAACUUUCUGCUGCUGCUGCUGCUGCUGCUAAGUUGCUUCAGUCGUGUCUGACUCUGUGUGACCCCAUAGACGGCAGCCCACCAGGCUUCCCCGUUCCUGGGAUUCUCCAGGCAAGAACACUGGAGUGGGUUGCCAUUUCCUUCUCCAAUGCAUAAAAGUGAAAGUGAAAUCGCUCAGUCGUGUCGACUCUUCGCAACCCCAUGGACUGCAGCCCACCAGGCUCCUCCGUCCAUGGGAUUUUCCAGGCAAGAGUACUGGAGUGGGGUGCCAUUGCCUUCUCUGUUAACUUUCUACUCAGCCUAAACUUAUCCCCGUGCUGUCUCAUGCUGUCCGCCAGCUCUUUCACUGGAAUAUGUUACCCAGUCGCCUUGGAAUCAUUACUGGGUCUCCUUGGAAUGGAAACUGUGUCAGACUGGAGGGUCUCUAGACAGCAAUGCAAGGGAUUUAUUCUCCAUGAAGCCUUUCAGACACAUGAAAUAUCUG
rnacentral:lncRNA from 1 species